rnacentral:rRNA from 1 species
AGAGUUUAUAACACCCGAAGUCGGUGGGGUAACCGCAAGGAGCCAGCCGCCGAAGGUGGGAUAGAUGAUUGGGGUGAAGUCGUAACAAGGUAGCCGUAUCGGAAGGUGCGGCUGGAUCACCUCCUUUCUAUGGAGA